rnacentral:tRNA from 1 species
AUAAGAAUAGUUUAUAUGAAAAUAUUGAUUUGUGGGGUCAAAGAUUUAUUAGUUAAUUUUUAUU